UAGGGAAUCUUCCGCAAUGGGCGAAAGCCUGACGGAGCAACGCCGCGUGAGUGAUGAAGGUCUUCGGAUCGUAAAACUCUGUUAUUAGGGAAGAACAUAUGUGUAAGUAACUGUGCACAUCUUGACGGUACCUAAUCAGAAAGCCACGGCUAACUACGUGCCAGCAGCCGCGGUAAUACGUAGGUGGCAAGCGUUAUCCGGAAUUAUUGGGCGUAAAGCGCGCGUAGGCGGUUUUUUAAGUCUGAUGUGAAAGCCCACGGCUCAACCGUGGAGGGUCAUUGGAAACUGGAAAACUUGAGUGCAGAAGAGGAAAGUGGAAUUCCAUGUGUAGCGGUGAAAUGCGCAGAGAUAUGGAGGAACACCAGUGGCGAAGGCGACUUUCUGGUCUGUAACUGACGCUGAUGUGCGAAAGCGUGGGGAUCAAACAGGAUUAGAUACCCUGGUAGUCCACGCCGUAAACGAUGAGUGCUAAGUGUUAGGGGGUUUCCGCCCCUUAGUGCUGCAGCUAACGCAUUAAGCACUCCGCCUGGGGAGUACGACCGCAAGGUU
rnacentral:rRNA from 1 species